rnacentral:rRNA from 3 species
GCGAAGCUCCUGAUCGAAGCCCCAGUAAACGGCGGCCGUAACUAUAACGGUCCUAAGGUAGCGAAAUUCCUUGUCGGGUAAGUUCCGACCUGCACGAAUGGCGUAAUGAUGGCCAGGCUGUCUCCACCCGAGACUCAGUGAAAUUGAACUCGCUGUGAAGAUGCAGUGUACCCGCGGCAAGACGGAAAGACCCCGUGAACCUUUACUAUAGCUUGACACUGAACAUUGAGCCUUGAUGUGUAGGAUAGGUGGGAGGCUUUGAAGUGUGGACGCCAGUCUGCAUGGAGCCAACCUUGAAAUACCACCCUUUAACGUUUGAUGUUCUAACCUAGGCCCAUAAACUGGGUCGGGGACCGUGUCUGGUGGGUAGUUUGACUGGGGCGGUCUCCUCCUAAAGAGUAACGGAGGAGCACGAAGGUUGGCUAAGCAUGGUCGGACAUCAUGCGGUUAGUGCAAAGGCAUAAGCCAGCUUGACUGCGAGAGUGACGGCUCGAGCAGGUACGAAAGUAGGUCUUAGUGAUCCGGUGGUUCUGAAUGGAAGGGCCAUCGCUCAACGGAUAAAAGGUACUCCGGGGAUAACAGGCUGAUACCGCCCAAGAGUUCAUAUCGACGGCGGUGUUUGGCACCUCGAUGUCGGCUCAUCACAUCCUGGGGCUGAAGUAGGUCCCAAGGGUAUGGCUGUUCGCCAUUUAAAGUGGUACGCGAGCUGGGUUUAGAACGUCGUGAGACAGUUCGGUCCCUAUCUGCCGUGGGCGUUGGAAGAUUGAGAGGGGUUGCUCCUAGUACGAGAGGACCGGAGUGAACGCACCACUGGUGUUCGGGUUGUCAUGCCAAUGGCAUUGCCCGGUAGCUAAGUGCGGAAGAGAUAACCGCUGAAAGCAUCUAAGCGGGAAACUUGCCUCGAGAUGAGUCUUCCCUGUCGCUUUAAGCGACCUAAAGGAACGUUUAAGACUAAGACGUUGAUAGGCUGGGUGUGUAAGCGUAGCGAUACGUUGAGCUAACCAGUACUAAUGAACCGUGAGGCUUAACCUGACAACACCGAAGGUGUUU